rnacentral:misc_RNA from 1 species
GAUGAAGAACGCAGCGAAAUGCGAUACGUAGUGUGAAUUGCAGAAUUCAGUGAAUCAUCGAAUCUUUGAACGCAUAUUGCACUCUCUGGUAUUCCGGAGAGUAUGCCUGUUUCAGUAUCAAUGAAAGGAAUAUCAAGCCUAUUUUUUUUUGAAAAAAAAAAAGGGUUUUGGAUCUGGGCAUUUUCAGCAUUUAUUUUGUGCAUGCCUGAAAUUCAAUGGAUAGAAUCUUUGAAAAGGGUCAAAAAAAAGGUGUUUAGUUGGAUUGGUAAAUCCUUUUUUUCACUGAAUUUUUUUGGGCUUUUUUCAAAAAAAAAAAUUUUUCAAACUUGAUCUGAAAUCAGGUAGGAUUACCCGCUGAACUUAAGCAUAUCAAUAAGCGGAGGA